rfam:Guillardia theta CCMP2712 unplaced genomic scaffold GTITHscaffold_78, whole genome shotgun sequence.
GGGGGCGUAGCUCAAUUGGUAGAGCGCGCGCUUCGCAUGCGCGAGGCACCGGGAUCGAAACCCGGCGCUUCCA